rnacentral:misc_RNA from 1 species
AAGUCGUAACAAGGUCUCCGUAGGGGAACCUGCGGAGGGAUCAUUUCUGUUGGAAAGUGGGUUUGGAUGGAGGGUGUGUUGUUUUAACCAUUGGCUUAGCAAUAAGAAAAUGGAGCGAGCGGCAUGUCUUUUUUCCUUACCCAUUCACAAAAAGUUGGAUGUGCUCUUUUUUAUAAAAUGGGGGACCUUGGUGGGGGUGGCAACACCCUUGCUAAACCCCUGUUUUAAUACAAAAACUGUCAUAAAGGUAUCCUUAACUGAAUCCGAUACAAGAAAUCUAAACUUGACAACUAUCAACGGCGGAUCUCUUGGUUCGU